UCGUGCUGCUGACCAAGAGGAAGUCGAUGA
rnacentral:piRNA from 1 species